rnacentral:rRNA from 1 species
GACGAACGCUGGCGGCGUGCUUAACACAUGCAAGUCGAACGAAGUGGCGAACGGGUGAGUAACGCGUAAUCAACCUGCCCAUCAGAGGGGGACAACAGGUGGAAACGACUGCUAAUACCGCAUACUGAAGGUGGGGAAUGCGUCUGAUUAGCUAGUUGGAUGGGUAACGGCCCACCAAGGCGAUGACCAGUAGCCGGUCUGGGGGGAGUAACGGCCACAUUUGGAACGGGACACCGCCCAGACUCCUUCGGGGGGCAGCCGUUGGGAAUCUUCCGGAAAGGACGAAAGUCCGACGGAGCAAAGCCCGGUGGGUGGUGGCGGCCUUCGGGUUGUAAAGCUCUGUUUAUCGGGACGCGGUACCGGAAUAGAAAGCCACGGCUAACUACGUGCCAGCAGCCGCGGUAAUAC